AACGCAAAUUGCACUCUCUGGCAACCCGGGGAGUAUGCCUGUUUGAGGGUCAGUGUUAAUAAAAAUCGGGUGCGUUGCAAUUUUUGUGACGUUUCCGGAGUUUGAGUUUAUCUUAACUUCGGUUUUAAGAGGCUUAAAAUUGACCUUUUUUUUGUGCAUUUUAGACGUACAUAAAUUUUUUUUUAUUCGUCCAUCCUAAUGCCAAAAUCUAUUAGAUGCGACCAUAUCUUGUGGUUCCGUGUCUAUAAAUUUUUCAUGAUUUGACCUCAAAUCAGGUAGGAACACCCGCUGAACUUAA
rnacentral:misc_RNA from 1 species